GACUCCUGAUAUCAAGUGAUCUUCCCGCCUCGGCCUCCCAGAGUGCUGAGAUUACAGACGUGAACCCAUGCCUGGCCAGGAAUUUUGUUUUUUAGGAAGGCUUUCUACUAAUGGAAUUCCUGGCCUUGAGAGGAUGUUACUUUAGAAGGAAAGGAUUUUUUUGUUAUUAAAAGAGCCACCUAAGCUGAAGAUUCCCUUGAGAACAAGUACUGUCCCUGGUUUCCCAGUGCUGGAAUAUAGAAAAUGGAUGGACAACUGGACCUACCAUGAAAGACUUCUGAAUCCAGGAAGAGAAACUGACUGGGCAACAUGUUAUUCAGAUGGGGUCUUCUUAUGUUGCCCAGGUUGGUCUCAAAUUCCUAGGCUCAAGUGAUUCCGCCCACCUCUGCCUCCCAAAGUGCUGGGAUUACGGGCAUGAGCCAGCGCAUCUGGCCACCUUAUUUUCUAUUACUGGCUCAAUGUAAUGGCUCCAUCUCAGGAACAGCCAAUGAAAGAGAUGCACAGGACAAGGUGGACAGUCUAGUUGCAGGAAAACAAGCUCAGAGAUCCCACUGAGUCUACGUUAUACUGGAUCUACCAUGAAAGACUUGUGAAUCCAGGAAGAGAGACUGACUGGGCAACAUGUUAUUCAGGUGGGAACAUCCAGUUGCGGGAAAACAAGCUUAACACGCCCACUGAUUCUACAUUAUGCUCCUACCUCCCGGCAGCCUCUCCAGGCCCAGAACUUUCUCCAGUCAGCCUCUACAGACCAAGCUCAUGACUCACAAUGGCCUAUUUAGGCCCAUACCCUACGUCACGGCAGCCUCCGCAGAUGAGCCUACUGCCUCACAACAGCCUCCACAGGCACAGCUCCAUCGUUACAAUGGCCUCUUUAGACCCAGCUCCUGCCUCCCAGCCUUCUCUCCAGGCUCUGAACUUUCUCAGGUCUCCCUCUGUUGUCCAAGGCUGGAGUGUAGUAGUGCUAUCGCAGC
rnacentral:lncRNA from 1 species